UCCCCUUCAUCUACAGUCGUGGACAAAAAAUGUAACCAUGUUUGACAGAGGAAGAACAAUGAUUCCAAACACCACCCUCAUUUGGAAGCUUCCAGUCUGUUAUGCGAACUCAAUCAGCAUGACAGAGUGAUCUCCAGCCUUGUCCUCGACAACACUCACACCUGUGUUAACAAGAGAAUCACUAACAUGAUGUCAGCUGGUCCUUUUGUGGCAGGGAAGAAAUGCAGUGGAAAUGUUUUUGGGGGAUUCAGUUCAUUUGCAUGGCAAAGAGGGACUUUGCAUUCAAUUGCAAUCAAUACACUGAUUGAAAUGGACUUAACAAGAGACGUCAAUAAGGGAUCAUAGCUUUCACCUGGUCAGUCCAGGGGCGGCAGGGAGCCUAGUGGUUAGAGCGUUGGACUAGUAACCAAAAGGUUGCAAGAUUGAAUCCCCGAGCUGACGAGGUCAAAAUCUGUCGUUCUGCCCCUGAACAAGGCAGUUGACCCACUGUUCCUUGGCCGUCAUUGAAAAUAAGAAUUUGUUCUUAACAGACUUGCCUAGUUAAAUAAAGGAGAAAUAAAUGUCAUUGAAAGAACAGGUGUUCAUAAUGUUUUGUACACUCAGUGUAUAUGUAAAUAAUAUAAAUGAAAUGUAAACACACAUUGAAAUAAAUGUAAAGCCCAUUGAAGCGAAUGUAAUGCAUUUCACCACAGGGUAUUACACCUGUCAAAUUAAUCAAUCACUCACCACCAGCAUUUACUACAGGACUGAGUUCACCCCUCCGUGUUUCACAGCUGUGUUGUGAUUGGAUACGUUUUGCGGUUCUGGGCUCACAUUGGAUGAUUUUGGCAGUUGUGGGCUUUCAUCUCACACUGUGUCAAUUGUUCCCAUUGAGUUAUUUGUUGUAAAUUGACGUCAGCUGU